rnacentral:lncRNA from 1 species
CCAUGUGCCGGCACGCCUGCGCUGGGCGUUUCACGUAGACGGAGUUGUGCGGUGUGUAGCCUUCGGUGACUGGCUGCUGGGUGUUUCCCGUAGAUAGAGUCAUGUGGGACCCUUUAGCUACUGUGUGAACAAACUCCAGCCAGCCUGAUGAAGGAUGAUAGACUGCAAGGAGGAACGUCGGGUCAUUUCAGCUCUGCAGCUGUGCUGCUGCUCCUGGGAGACGCUCCCAGCAUGAAGGGAGGCCCACCAGAGACAGCAGGACCUGGGCCAGACCAGACGGAUGGCCCAUCUGAGGCCAGCCUAAACUGCUGAGCUAAAGAGAACGAUGAACUAAAUAAAAUUGUUGCUGUUUUAACCCCCUAAGUAUUAGGGUGAUUUGUUGCAUAUUUCUCUGUUAAAAUUCUUAAUAAUUUAAAAAUAAUUGCCUUAAACAUAUUGACAGUGUAAUUUUAAAUGUGUCUCAUUCUGUACCCAGGCUCCAUGUGGUGUGGUUAUACUGUGCAUUCUUUCUGUUACUUUUGGUCAUAUUAUCUAGUUUUCUGAUGUGUCUGGUUAUUAUUGAGUGAUGGGAACUGCAUAUAAAAAAACUGUAGAAAUAUUUUGAGGGAUGUGAUGAUGUUAUCUCUCUGUAGAGGCUGUAUUUUCUUCUCGGGGGAAGCUAAGGCAUUGGUAGCCCUGGGUCACCUCAAUCCAGUUUCAUGGAUCUAAAGUCUAUGAAACUCACCUUCAGUUCUAGGGUUAAGCCUGUCAGGGUCCCAAAAAGUGUAGGGGAAUUACCAGUCUCCUCUUCCAAAACUGGACUCCACUUUUUUUUUUUUAAAUUCACUGAACCAAGAUAAACUUAUUUUAUCUUGCACAUUUUAUCUUAAAAGAAGAAGAAGUCUUGCACAUCUUCUCACUCUCCUAGCUGCCUCUUUGAAGGACGAGAUGCCCUUGGUAGGGGUGGGGCAGUAGUUCAAAUCCUGUGCUUCCUUUUCUGUAUUUUCUUCUCCUGCUAGAUCUUGGGGAUACAAUUCUCCACUGCCUUGCACUUUCUAGUUAGCCUUUACACAAACUCCACUUUUGACUGAUAUUUUAGCUGCUAGCAAGAGGAUUGGUAAGAAUUAUCUGAAACUCUAUUAUCAGAAAAAGAAAUACACAAGGACUUAAUUUUUAAAAGAUAUAUUGAAGUGGGCCGGGGGUGGUGGC